rnacentral:lncRNA from 1 species
AGUGGUGAUUUAUCCAGCGGCUUUCAAAGUGCAAUUUCUGGACUAGCAGCAUCAUUUGAGAUUCCUUAGAACCUCACAUUCUUCCCAAGCCCCCUGAAUUGGAAAUUCUGGGGCUGGACCACUGCAACCUGCAGUUUCACCAGGCUUCGAGGUAGACCUGAUGUUCAGAAACCAUAAACAAGGUCUUCGGGCUCUUCACAAACCAUCCCUAUCCUCCUGUUUGACCUGACAUCGCUCUUGAAAGCCCUCAAAGAACAGCCUCAAAGGUGAACAGGUUGGUGAGGUCAGCUGACUACUAGAAGACAGAUCUAUUUGAAGAUUUUUGUGGUGGUCUUUACUACUCCAGAGAUUUACAGCUGAUGAAAAAUGGAGAAGUACAUGACCCUACCCUGCUGUUGGACAUGCUACCCAAGGAUCAUGACUGACAACUUGUCAACAUCACUAUUGCUUAUUUAAUAAAUGUGCAGUACUAC